ACAAAUUACAAACACUAUUUAACAUUGUAGAAAAAUUGCAUAGUUUGUAAAAUUGUGAACUGAAUGCUUUUAUUCUAUUUUGAAUGUAAUAAACUAUUUGAGCUUUGCUGCCCUUUUCAUGUUUCAUAAAUUUGUACCUGCUUAUAACAGAAAUUUAAAUAAAGUACAGUUUCAAAGUUAGGACAGAAUAUAAAGAUCACCUGUAUUGUUAUAAUGAAUGAAUUAUAGAUAUUGUUUUUAUCAAAAGAUCUAUUAAAUAUUGUUUCCAACAAAUAGUGAUAUCCCAUUGUACUUACUUUUAUAGAUUAACCUUGAGGAAGAAAAUGGAAUUUUUCUUGCCAGCAAUGAGAUUUUUGUAAGAUCCACUGUUAACUUUUUGUUUUUAUUUGAGUUUGUCUUUCAUUGAAUGCAAUCAUGACUCGUCUUUCAUUUUAAGUAUUAAUAUUAUUUUAGUUAUAAGGACCAAACUUGCUUGUUUUAAUAUUUG
rnacentral:lncRNA from 1 species